AGGCGAUCAGAUACCGCCCUAGUUCUACCCAUAAACGAUGCCAGCCAGCGAUCCGCCGAAGUUCCUCCGAUGACUCGGCGGGCAGCUUCCGGGAAACCAAAGYUUUUGGGUUCCGGGGGAAGUAUGGUUGCAAAGCUGAAACUUAAAGGAAUUGACGGAAGGGCACCACCAGGAGUGGAGCCUGCGGCUUAAUUUGACUCAACACGGGAAACCUCACCAGGCCCGGACACCGGAAGGAUUGACAGAUUGAGAGCUCUUUCUUGAUUCGGUGGGUGGUGGUGCAUGGCCGUUCUUAGUUGGUGGAGCGAUUUGUCUGGUUAAUUCCGGUAACGAACGAGACUCUARCCUGCUAAAUAGACGAUUUCCGGUAUCCACAAUAGUGCUACCGGCGAAAUCAAUAUCUUCUUAGAGGGACAGGCGGCUUUCAGCCGCACGAAAYUGAGCAAUAACAGGUCUGUGAUGCCCUUAGAUGUCCUGGGCCGCACGCGCGCUACMCUGAAGGAAUCAGCGUGUCUACCCUGGCCGAAAGGCUCGGGCAACCCGUURAACCUCCUUCGUGCUAGGGAUURGGGCUUGCAAUURUUCCCCAUGAACGAGGAAUUCCCAGUAAGCGCGAGUCAUAARCUCGCGUUGAWUACGUCCCUGCCCUUUGUACACACCSCCCGUCGMUACUACCGAWKGAAUGAUUUAGUGAGGUCUUCGGACUGGUGCGCGGCG
rnacentral:rRNA from 1 species